rnacentral:tRNA from 1 species
GCCCGAGUGGUGAAAUCGGUAGACACAAGGGAUUUAAAAUCCCUCGACGUUCGCGUCAUGCCGGUUCGAUUCCGGCCUCGGGCACCA